GAGUAGGAGCCAUUGAGCCAAAGGACGAUGCUUGUCCAAUUCAUUUAUACCCAAAAGAUUAUCAAAAAUGAGAUUUGUACACAUAUAAGCAGAUAAGCUCUUGGGGGGGUGGGGGAUAUUCAACUUCAACAAUGGAAGAUAGCACAACUUUGCCUUACCAGUUCACAGACGAUGAGCAGAGGUUUGGUGUUGUUGGCUUCAACUUUUACAUGCGCGACCUAGACACUGGAUAAGCUCUUCGUCCAGUCAUCCAUCUCUUUUGGCUAUCCCAUAACACCAGAAAUCCAUCAUAUAACUUCAUUUGUUACUAGGUCACAGAACCCCUUUAAGGUGAACCCAAAUUGAUAUAGCUUCAAGAGAAGAAGUGUUUGCAACCUCUCCAUCAAAC
rnacentral:lncRNA from 1 species